UACGGGGGGAGCAAGCGUUGUUCGGAUUUACUGGGCGUAAAGGGCGCGUAGGCGGCCAGCACAAGUCAGUUGUGAAAUCUCCGGGCUUAACUCGGAAAGGUCAACUGAUACUGUGCGGCUAGUAGUGCAGAAGGGGCAACUGGAAGUUCUCGGUGUAGCGGUGAAAUGCGUAGAUAUCGAGAGGAACACCUGCGGCGAAGGCGGGUUGCUGGGCUGACACUGACGCUGAUGCGCGAAAGCCAGGGGAGCGAACGGG
rnacentral:rRNA from 1 species